AAAUGCUUACCCCUUCCUCUAUCCCCUGGAGAUCUAAAUCAGUAAAUCUUCCCUCCUUCCAGAUAUAUGUCACCUGUUAUCAUUGCAUUUGUUUUCCUUGGAGAAUGCCUUGUUCACCAUCACUACAGAGCCUCUAUCCACCGAGCCUUUUCCAGUGAUUGUACAAAGUAAAGAAACUGAGAUACAGAGAAGCUAUGCAACUUAGCCAAGGUCACGCUGAGAAAAAAGAGUUCUUUCUCUGGAGGUGGACAUAGGCACGUCAUCCUUCAAACUAUUUCUGCUGUGUAUAAUAUUCUUUUGGUUCUGCUCAUUCCACUCUCAAAUUUCAGCUAUUUGGGGAUGGACCUUUCCAUUUAUUGGAUCAUUAACAUCAUCAAGACACUACUGGAUCCUUUUGCAACCAUUAACUGUAUUGGCUUUAAUAUUGGGUCAACUGAUUCCUCUUAGGCCUCAAAGGAGCUGCAACCCAAGCCAACUUUAUUUUAAGAAGCUGGUUGCUUCAUCAAAAAAGAAAAAAAAAGACAUGUGCAAAUGUCCCCAAAGGAACUGGAAUUGGUGAUUUUGUGUGAAGGGAUUAAAGAAGCUGGCUGCAGUUGUGCCAUUUUAAUAGGAUGCUGCCACGUAUGAGAUGUAGACACUCUUAAUGUUUUAUUAGAUUGGAAUAAUUUCUGGCAUUUAAACAUUUUGAUGAAAUUUGUUAAAUUUUUGAGGUGUUUUUAUAUGAAAAAAAUAAAAUGUUUUUUGGCAAUUCUAGUAAAGAGGCA
rnacentral:lncRNA from 1 species